GUAGGUGGCAAGCGUUGUCCGGAAUUAUUGGGCGUAAAGCGCGCGCAGGUGGUCCUUUAAGUCUGAUGUGAAAGCCCCCGGCUCAACCGGGGAGGGUCAUUGGAAACUGGGGAACUUGAGUGCAGGAGAGGAAAGUGGAAUUCCACGUGUAGCGGUGAAAUGCGUAGAUAUGUGGAGGAACACCAGUGGCGAAGGCGACUUUCUGGCCUGUAACUGACACUGAGGCGCGAAAGCGUGGGGAGCAAACAGGGAUUAGAUACCCUGGUAGUCCACGCCGUAAACGAUGAGUGCUAAGUGUUGGGGGGGUUUCCCGCCCCUCAGUGCUGCAGCUAACGCAUUAAGCACUCCGCCUGGGGAGUACGGUCGCAAGACUG
rnacentral:rRNA from 1 species